rnacentral:rRNA from 1 species
AACGAACGCUGGCGGCAGGCUUAACACAUGCAAGUCGAGCGCCCCGCAAGGGGAGCGGCAGACGGGUGAGUAACGCGUGGGAAUCUACCCAUCUCUACGGAAUAACGCAUGGAAACGUGUGCUAAUACCGUAUACGUCCUUCGGGAGAAAGAUUUAUCGGAGAUGGAUGAGCCCGCGUUGGAUUAGCUAGUUGGUGGGGUAAAGGCCUACCAAGGCGACGAUCCAUAGCUGGUCCGAGAGGAUGAUCAGUCACACUGGGACUGAGACACGGCCCAGACUCCUACGGGAGGCAGCAGUGGGGAAUAUUGGACAAUGGGCGCAAGCCUGAUCCAGCCAUGCCGCGUGAGUGAUGAAGGCCCUAGGGUUGUAAAGCUCUUUCACCGGUGAAGAUAAUGACGGUAACCGGAGAAGAAGCCCCGGCUAACUUCGUGCCAGCCGCCGCCGUAAAAC